GGGCCCGCACAAGCGGUGGAGCAUGUGGUUUAAUUCGAUGCAACGCGAAGAACCUUACCUGGUCUUGACAUACACAGAAUCUUGUAGAGAUACGAGAGUGCCUUCGGGAAUUGUGAUACAGGUGCUGCAUGGUUGUCGUCAGCUCGUGCCGUGAGGUGUCAGGUUAAGUCCUAUAACGAGCGCAACCCCCAUCGUUAGUUGCCAACGAGUAAUGUCGGGAACUCUAACGAAACUGCCGGUGCAAACCGUGAGGAAGGUGGGGAUGACGUCAAAUCAUCAUGCCCCUUACAUCCUGGGCUACACACGUACUACAAUGCUACGGACAAAGGGCAGCAAGUUCGCGAGGACAAGCAAAUCCCAUAAACCGUGGCUCAGUUCAGAUCGUAGGCUGCAACUCGCCUACGUGAAGGCGGAAUCGCUAGUAAUCGCAGGUC
rnacentral:rRNA from 1 species